rnacentral:rRNA from 1 species
CGUUCCCGGGUCUUGUACACACCGCCCGUCACACCACGAAAGUCGGCAACACCCCGAAGCCGGUGGCCUAACCGCAAGGGACGGGAGCCGUCGAAGGUGGGGCUGGCGAUUGGGGU